CAGUCUUCGUCAGACAUUAAAUGAAGGUAGUAAAUACAGCAGUGUUGACCUUCACCUUAUGUUGACCAAUGUGCAACAUUGUCAAGCCAUUGUCCAGCAACUCAUUGUGUCUGAAACUGAUAUUUUCUUUUCAAAUACAUUGUCCAGCUUGUCUGAAAGUUUGUCUGUCUACUCCAAUAUCUUGACCAAGAAAAUUUACCA
rnacentral:sRNA from 1 species